UACGUAGGGGGCAAGCGUUGUCCGGAAUCAUUGGGCGUAAAGGGCGUGUAGGCGGCCCGGUAAGUCCGCUGUGAAAGUCGGGGGCUCAACCCUCGAAUGCCGGUGGAUACUGUCGGGCUAGAGUGCGGAAGAGGCGAGUGGAAUUCCUGGUGUAGCGGUGAAAUGCGCAGAUAUCAGGAGGAACACCAAUGGCGAAGGCAGCUCGCUGGGACGUGACUGACGCUGAGACGCGAAAGCGUGGGGAGCAAACAGG
rnacentral:rRNA from 1 species